rnacentral:rRNA from 1 species
AGUCGAACGGUAACAGGACUUCGGUCGCUGACGAGUGGCGCACGGGUGAGUAACGCGUGGGUUACCUGCCCAUAAGUGGGGAACAACUUGGAGAAAUCCAAGCUAAUACCGCAUAAUACCUUCGGGUUAAAGAGGGGGAUCUUCGGACCUCUCGCUUAUGGAUGGUCCCGCGUCUGAUUAGCUAGUUGGUAGGGUAAUGGCCUACCAAGGCAAUGAUCAGUAGCUGGUCUGAGAGGAUGAUCAGUCACACUGGAACUGAGACACGGUCCAGACUCCUACGGGAGGCAGCAGUGGGGAAUUUUGCACAAUGGGCGAAAGCCUGAUGCAGCGACGCCGCGUGCGGGAAGAAGGCCUUCGGGUUGUAAACCGCUUUCAACAGGGAAGAAGGAAUGAGAGCUAAUACCUCUCUGCCUUGACGGUACCUGUAGAAGAAGCACCGGCUAAUUUCGUGCCAGCAGCCGCGGUAAUACGAAAGGUGCAAGCGUUGUUCGGAUUUACUGGGCGUAAAGAGAUCGUAGGUGGCUUGUUAAGUCGGAUGUGAAAUCCCGGGGCUCAACCCCGGAACUGCAUCCGAUACUGGCAGGCUUGAGUUUGGGAGGGGUAAGCGGAAUUCCGUGUGUAGCAGUGAAAUGCGUAGAUAUACGGAGGAACACCUGAGGCGAAGGCGGCUUACUGGACCAAUACUGACACUGAGGAUCGAAAGCGUGGGUAGCAAACAGGAUUAGAUACCCUGGUAGUCCACGCCCUAAACGAUGUCAACUAGCCGCUGCGGGUAUCGACCCCUGCAGUGGCGCGGCUAACGCGAUAAGUUGACCGCCUGGGGAGUACGGUCGCAAGAUUAAAACUC